AUUGAACGCUAGCGGGAUGCCUUACACAUGCAAGUCGAACGGAGUGGCGAACGGGUGAGUAAUGUAUCGGAACGUGCCCAGUAGCGGGGGAUAACUAAGCGAAAGCGUCGCUAAUACCGCAUACUAUUGGAGCGGCCGAUACCGGAUUAGCGAGGUGGGGGGGUAACGGCUCACCAAGGCGACGAUCCGUAGCUGGGUUGAGAGGACGACCAGCAAAACUGGGACUGAGACACGGCCCAGACGCCUACGGUAGGCAGCAGUGGGGAAUUUUGGACAAUGGGGGAAACCUGGAGCCAGCCAUCCCGCGUGUGCGAUGAAGGCCUUCGGGUUGUAAAGCACGUUUGGCAGGAAAGCGGUACCUGCAGAAUAAGCACCGGCUAACUACGUGCCAGCAGCCGCGGUAAUAC
rnacentral:rRNA from 1 species